GAGGUCACGUGGGAUUGCUUGAAAAUGGCGAAACGAAACUUGUGAAUCGUGCAUUUGCUCUUCUUGGUAGCUGCCAGAAAAUCGAAUCAAGCUUAUGGGACACUGGAUUACAGGUUGCUGCCACUACUCCAUGUGCCCGCAAUUGUCUUGCGUGUAUGAUUACACUAACGGCGUCGCCCACCACGGCGGAAGUGUUUUGCGUACACGCGUUUCAGCAUGAAGCCUGCAGGUGGACGUAAAUUGUAGAAGGCAGCUAGUGGGGGAGAAGAUCAUGGUCAUAGGUCAUGUGACUCCUGGAGCUCCCAGUGGGCUCCCUUGUGGAGUACUUUUCAGAACACACACACAUACAGUUUGCUCACAGAACCAACGAGUAGGAUGUUGCUUGAAUACUGAGAGAAAAUGGCGUAACACAUACAAAUAUCGUGUGACACAUAUGACAAUAAAAACAUUUUUCACGAGGGAUGCAUGAAACACUGUCGCAAUAUUGUGUGCAUGAACCAUUGUGUGUGACACAAGCCGUGGGGGCACACCGCCUCGGACACAUUUUGGGAAGCAUAAAACACAGUAUAUACAGAGCUAGUAUGGUGGAUGCUUCUUUUUUCUUUUUGGCCGUUAUGAGACAUCUUCGGCCGUAAUGAGACUACCUUCGGCCGUAUUGAGACUUUGGCCGUAACGAGACACUUGGGGAUUAAAGGAUUUUCGGCCGUAAUGAGACUUCGGCCGUAAUGAGA